rnacentral:rRNA from 1 species
GAACCGUCCAAACGUUUAUUCGGAAUCAUUGGGCUUAAAGGGUGCGUAGGCGGUACGGUCAGUUGGGUGUGAAAUCCCUCGGCUCAACCGAGGAACUGCGCCCAAUACUGCCGUACUUGAGGGAGACAGAGGUAAGCGGAACUGAUGGUGGAGCGGCGAAAUGCGUUGAUAUCAUCAGGAACACCAGUGGCGAAGGCGGCUUACUGGGUCUCUUCUGACGCUGAGGCACGAAAGCUAGGGGAGCGAACGGGGAUUAGAUACCCCGGUAGUCCUAGCUGUAAACGAUGAGCACUUGAUCGGAGACUCCUCCAUAGGUUUCCCGGUCGUAGCGAAAGUGUUAAGUGCUCCGCCUGGGGAGUAUGGUCGCAAGGCUG